UACGGAGGAUCCAAGCGUUAUCCGGAUUCAUUGGGUUUAAAGGGUGCGUAGGCGGAAUGAUAAGUCAGCGGUGAAAUCCCUCGGCUUAACUGAGGAACUGCCGUCGAUACUGUCAAUCUUGAGUACAUUUGAUGUGGGCGGAAUGUGUCAUGUAGCGGUGAAAUGCUUAGAUAUGACACAGAACACCGAUUGCGAAGGCAGCUCACAAAACUGUAACUGACGCUGAGGCACGAAAGCGUGGGUAUCAAACAGG
rnacentral:rRNA from 1 species